rnacentral:lncRNA from 1 species
GUUCUUCCGCCAGCGCCCAUCGUGAAGACCACAGUUUCCUGUCGCGUGGAUGUGUUUCCUCUCUGGCCAUUGCCAUCCGCCCAAAUCUACAGACAUCCCGCAUGUUCCCGGGCUCGUCUCCCCAAUACAGGGCACCAAGGCUGUAGACUGCGCAGCCCUCCUGGAGACAGAUGGAAGCUCCUUGGGUCGACAGAUUACAGCUUCUGGAACCCCCUACUCCCUUCAACUCCGAGAUGGACACCCACUGUCCAGGGAGAGGAUGCCUGGAAAUAACAGCUGGGAUCUACAGUGGCCAAAGAGUUGUCUCCGUCUUGCUACAUCGACAAACUGGUGCUCCUGAGUGAGGAUUGUGCCCUGGGAUGGGGGAUUCAGUUUCUUCAUUUAUAGUUGGAAGUGGGUGAAGCCACUUCGGAAGCGUUUUCCUCUCCACUCUGACAACAGGCAAGAGUGAGGGUCCAACAAUACAGAGGAAGUAACGUGUCGCUGCUACUCUUCCAUGCCCAGUGCCAGGAGCGACGGUACACUCCAGAGUGCUGUGCCCUGAUGGGCCUUUGAGUGGCCAGUGCAGUGGAUCAUCAGCCCUGUCUCCCAAGAGCUCCAGUCCCUUCUCCGGAGAGGAAGUGGGUCCACUGGCAGCUCAGGAGGCCAUAGCAGGAUUGUCACGUGUGCUCAACAGUCCUCCUCGGCUUUCCAGAAGAGGCUGGAACAGGGCCCUUGAAGGUAUGACUCCAGAUGCCUCACUAGAGAGCUGCAGAGGUCCAGCAAAGGCCCACAGUCAUGAAGAAAAGCUGAGGCUGCUUCCCCACCCGGGCCAGCGGGAACAUGGCUCCUCCAGCCCCUGACACCUCACUUCCCCACAUCUUCAUAGUGUGAAGUAAAGAGCUACACUAGGGUCACAGGAGCCCCUGGGAACCUGCAUGGCUUCAUUGGGUUCUGCAGUUGGCUUGAGAAUGGCUACAAUUGGGGUGCAGUUAGCCUUCUCUGAACUUCUCUGAACUCUGGGCACUUGUUAGGGAGCAGUCCCGUCCCAGACUCAUGAGGACUCGUGAGUCCUCAGAAGUUAACCCCCCCCCCAACUUGUCUUUUUUCAUUCAUUGUCUUAGUAAGAGGCCACUGAAGUAAUGGUUCUCAAAUUGUGGUCUCUGAAGCAACACUACCACCAUCCCUUGGAGUGUGUGAGAGUGGUCCUGCCUGCAGGCAGCAGUAUUUAGCAGCUCUCCAGGGGAUUCAUGGUUGAGAAGAUUGGAGAGUUGGGAAGCUACCUCUGUUACAGGCUGUAAAUAUGGUCACUGUUUCCUGGUCACUUGUCCCAGUUUGGCCCUUUCCUAAGCUGCCCAUCCAUCCAUUGUAGCUUCCCUCCUGCCCCUGUAUUCGAAAGUGAUUGUGGGCUGCCGGUGCCCUGGUCAUUGAUACUGCAGGGAGAGGAUGCCGAAAGCCUUUCCCCGUGUUUGGAGGAUCACACUUGUCCUUGCCAAACCCUGGUGCUUUCGAACAAUCUUCCUUCUCCCAGCCUAGUGGUCUCUCAGUUGCAGAUACCAGGCUCAUUUAGAGUCCUCUGCCAGUGCCGGGCAGUGUCCUAAGAGGACAUUAUUCUGGCUCAGUUUUGCAAAUAUCCCAUGAGCCCCAGUCACAUCCUCCUUCCAUGGCUGUGGAUUCGAGGCCUGCAGACAGACAUCUGUCUGGUAGAUGGGUGGCAUGUUCCCACAUGCAGUGUCAGGAGGAGAGUAAACUUGGCUAACAGGGAUGCUGGUCCCUGAGCCUGUCUAGCUCUGACCUGUUGUUACCAGCUUCCAGUUAGCUAACAGUGCCCGAAGCUACGUGAUGAUAUGGUGGAGAUAAGAAAGCAUCAUGAUCCCCCUCCCCUUUAAUUUUCUAGAUGUUUGUGGACAUCAGAGGGCCAAAGACGACACAAAGUGAAACUGGAGACACCGCCCCCCCUUGGCAUCAUGAAACUGCCGAUGUUACUGGCUCAUGCAUGGGAGACACCAGCAUACAAAGUCUUGACACCAACACCUCAGAGGGCUGUGUUCUGUCCCCGUGACCAUCAUCUAGUGCCUGGAAAGACUAGUGACAAGAACUUGUUGCCAACUUCCUAUUACCUCCCUAACAGUUGUGCAAUAAACCCCAUAGGUUAAUUCA